rnacentral:rRNA from 1 species
AUUGAACGCUGGCGGCAGGCCUAACACAUGCAAGUCGAGCGGAGCGGCGGACGGGUGAGUAAUGCCUAGGAAUCUGCCUGGUAGUGGGGGCUAACGUCCGGAAACGGGCGCUAAUACCGCAUACUAUCAGAUGAGCCUCGGUCGGAUUAGCUAGUUGGUGUGGUAACGGCCUACCAAGGCGACGAUCCGUAACUGGUCGGAGAGGAUGAUCAGUCACAGUGGAACUGAGACACGGUCCAGACUCCUACGGGAGGCAGCAGUGGGGAAGAGUGGACAAUGGGCGAAAGCCGGAUCCAGCCAUGCGGCGGGUGUGAAGAGGGUCUUCGGAUUGUAAAGCACUUUAAGUUGGGAGGCGUUACCAACAGAAUAAGCACCGGCUAACUUCGUGCCAGCAGCCGCGGUAAUUC